rnacentral:rRNA from 1 species
GACGAACGCUGGCGGCGUGCCUAAUACAUGCAAGUAGAACGCUGAAGGAGGAGCUUGCUUCUCUGGAUGAGUUGCGAACGGGUGAGUAACGCGUAGGUAACCUGCCUGGUAGCGGGGGAUAACUAUUGGAAACGAUAGCUAAUACCGCAUAAUAGCAGUUAUUGCAUGAUAACUGUUUGAAAGGUGCAAUUGCAUCACUACCAGAUGGACCUGCGUUGUAUUAGCUAGUUGGUGAGGUAACGGCUCACCAAGGCGACGAUACAUAGCCGACCUGAGAGGGUGAUCGGCCACACUGGGACUGAGACACGGCCCAGACUCCUACGGGAGGCAGCAGUAGGGAAUCUUCGGCAAUGGACGGAAGUCUGACCGAGCAACGCCGCGUGAGUGAAGAAGGUUUUCGGAUCGUAAAGCUCUGUUGUAAGAGAAGAACGAUGUGUGAGAGUG